rnacentral:rRNA from 1 species
AUGGAAGGUGUCAUAUGGAAUUGCAGGGGGGUAGGCAAGAAGGGAAUGGCCACCUGCCUCUCUAAUAUGAUUAGUGACCAUUCUGUGGAUUUCGAGACCAUGAAGAAAAACUUUUCUCCUGGAUGUUUGAGGAGAAUUGAUCCCUUUAGUAUAUUUAGUUGGAACUGGAUUCCCUCUGUUGGGAAGUCUGGGGGUAUAUUAUGUGGUGUUAGAAGUGAUAGUCUGGACAUCGUCUCC